rnacentral:misc_RNA from 1 species
AUUUUUCUAUGGUUCUUUUUGGUGGUUCUUCCAACUCUUUACCACUCGUCAACACAAUUACACUAGCAUUUUCUUUGGGAUUGACAAGAGUUUAGGAAGGAAGCUUGCCUAACCCUUAAGCUUCUAAUCUACUCACUCAAGAAGCUAGAUGGCUUAUUUGAUUUUUCAUGUUUUGAAUACUAGUCAUUGUCUCUUUUUGGAAUUGUAAAGAACUAGAUGCAAUAGUUUUGACCAUAUCCUCGAGUGAGAUACCUUGG